AAGCUUGUGGUCCUUACUUUGAACUCUAUACUACAAUGGUCACUGGCGACAAGGGAGUAAAUAAUGCCCUCAUUAGCAAGUUUGACCCAACUGCCCAGGAGAGGGUGGCUUAUGACAAACUCCAGGAAUGUUACAAUGAGUUGGGAUUGAAAGGCAAAGCCCUGGAUGGAGCAGUUCUGCAUGAAGUCACUGUCCAGUCACCAUGCAAGGAAUACUAUGCCGAAGACACCGUACACAAAUUUGUGGAAUUCAUUUCCAAUUUUGCAAGCCUUGUACAAUGAUGGCUGAUGCGAGCGCCAUCUUGCUGCCCUGUCCUCUCUCCCUCCUGAAGUUGGAAUCCAGACACCUGUCCCCUCCUUGUUCUGUCUGCUAAGCUUAUUCUAAUAAACACCUGCAGCUCUGC